rnacentral:rRNA from 1 species
CUCCGGUUGAUCCCGCCGGACCCGACUGCUAUCAGAGUGGGACUAAGCCAUGCGAGUCGACGUAGCAAUGCGUGGCGAACGGCUCAGUAACACGUAGUCAACAUGCCCAGGGGACGUGGAUAACCUCGGGAAACUGAGAAUAAACCACGAUAGGUCACGAUUUCUGGAAUGGAUCAUGGCCUAAAUCUACAUGGCCCCUGGAUUGGACUGCGGCCGAUCAGGCUGUUGGUGAGGUAAUGGCCCACCAAACCUAUAACCGGUACGGGCUCUGAGAGGAGAAGCCCGGAGAUGGGCACUGAGACAAGGGCCCAGGCCCUAUGGGGCGCAGCAGGCGCGAAACCUCUGCAAUAGGCGAAAGCCUGACAGGGUUACUCUGAGUGAUUUCCGCUAAGGGGAUCUUUUGGCACCUCUAAAAAUGGUGCAGAAUAAGGGGUGGGCAAGUCUGGUGUCAGCCGCCGCGGUAAUACCAGCACCCCGAGUGGUCGGGACGAUUAUUGGGCCUAAAGCAUCCGUAGCCGGUUCUGCAAGUCUUCCGUUAAAUCCAGCCGCUCAACGGAUGGGCCGCGGAGGAUACUACAGGACUAGGAGGCGGGAGAGGCAAGCGGUACUCAGUGGGUAGGGGUAAAAUCCUUUGAUCCAUUGAAGACCACCAGUGGCGAAGGCGGCUUGCCAGAACGCGCUCGACGGUGAGGGAUGAAAGCUGGGGGAGCAAACCGGAUUAGAUACCCGGGUAGUCCCAGCCGUAAACGAUGCAGACUCGGUGAUGGGUUGGCUUCGCGCUAACCCAGUGCCGCAGGGAAGCCGUUAAGUCUGCCGCCUGGGUAGUACGGUCGCAAGACUGAAACUUAAAGGAAUUGGCGGGGGAGCCA